AUGGGAGAAGCUUAGAUAUUCUUGGAACUCUUACAAGGCACAGCCAUAGUCGGCAUGGAUGCCGGCUAAGAUGCCACAGACCAUGGAUGGUCGGCUGGCAUCGGUGGCGUAAGCCGUGUUAAUGUAUAUUAAGAGUUCUUAGAAUAUCUUGGCUUCGUAC
rnacentral:ncRNA from 1 species